AGGAUGAACGCUAGCGGGAGGCUUAACACAUGCAAGUCGAGGGGCAGCAUAGGGUAGCAAUACUCUGAUGGCGACCGGCAAACGGGUGAGUAACGCGUAUGCAACCUACCCUGUACAGGGGGAUAACCCGGAGAAAUUCGGACUAAUAUCCCGUAAUAAUAUCCGGAGGCAUCUUUGGAUAUUUAAAGUUCCGACGGUACGGGAUGGGCAUGCGUAACAUUAACUGGUUGGUAAGGUAACGGCUUACCAAGGCUAUGAUGUUUAGGGGUCCUGAGAGGGUGGUCCCCCACACUGGUACUGAGACACGGACCAGACUCCUACGGGAGGCAGCAGUGAGGAAUAUUGGUCAAUGGGCGCAAGCCUGAACCAGCCAUCCCGCGUGCAGGAAGACGGCCCUAUGGGUUGUAAACUGCUUUUCCAGGGAGAGAAACUUACGCACGUGUUGCGUGACUGACGGUACCCUGGGAAUAAGCAUCGGCUAACUCCGUG
rnacentral:rRNA from 1 species